UACGUAGGGUGCAAGCGUUGUCCGGAUUCAUUGGGCGUAAAGGGCGCGUAGGCGGGCGGUCAAGUCCGGGGUGAAAGCCCCCAGCUCAACUGGGGAAGUGCCUCGGAUACUGGUCGCCUCGAGGGAGAUAGGGGCGUGCGGAACUUCCGGUGGAGCGGUGAAAUGCGCAGAUAUCGGAAGGAACACCGGUGGCGAAAGCGGCGCGCUGGAUCUCUUCUGACGCUGAGGCGCGAAAGCCAGGGGAGCGAACGGG
rnacentral:rRNA from 1 species